UUUUAAAACCAGCUCCGAGCUUAAUAAAACUAAGUUUCCUUUUUAAGGUAAAUAAGUCUGUUAAGCCGCUUGUCUGACAUUUUGGUCAGCGCAAGAAGGGUAAAGAGAGAAAUGUCUUUGCCUCCCGUAUUUGGAAAGGAACUUAACAUGAGCCAAC
rnacentral:ncRNA from 15 species